GGCAGGUGAUGUCCAUUCUCACGAUGGUCUUCAGACAUCCCCAGGGGCAAGGCUGAUGCCAGAAA
ensembl:snoRNA